rnacentral:lncRNA from 1 species
GUCAGGCUCCCCAGCCAUGCUGAGGACUAGGGACGCGUGGGAAUUGAAGACAGAAGAACGCAGAUAGAGAUACUAUUGUAGAAUCCGGCUCUUAGGAACAAUGAGGCCUCCUGUGAUUCCCAGGCCGCAGGGCGGAGACACACAAAACCUAAGACUAAAAACAAGACAUUUUUAUCUAAAAGCAGACCAGAGCGAGAAACACAGGAACAUCAGAGGUGAACAGUUCUGAAUGAACACAGACACAUAUUGUUACUGGAUGCACAAAAUAAAUCAAGAUAAAGCAUAGAUGCUCA